UAUUAGCAAGCGCACCCCUUGGUGCAGGAGGAUGGUCUAGGGGUUAUGACGCUUGCCUCACACGCAAGAGGUCACGGGUUCGAUUCCCGUUCUUCCUAUU
rnacentral:tRNA from 1 species